GGUGCCCCUUCACUAGGAGUACUUGACUGUUUUUAAAUGAAAGCUCUAUCUUUAAUACCAAAAAAGUUAUGCAAAAUUUUCGAUCUAAAAAAGUACAUGUUAAUUGUAAAAAACCGAAAUUUCGAUUUUUCUCAAAAACUAUAAUUUUUUCAAUUUUAAUAAUUAUGUGCAAGGUGCCUCUUUGCCAGGAGUGCUUGGCAGUUUUUAAAUGAAAGCUCUAUCUUUAAUAACAAAAAAGUUAUGCAAAAUUAUCGAUCUAAAAAAGUACAUGUUAAUUGUAAAAAACCGAAAUUUCGAUUUUUUUCAAAAACUACAAUUUUUUUAGUUUUUGAUUAUUACGUACAAGGUGCCCCUUUGCAAGGAGUACUUGACAGUUUUUAAAUGAAAGCUCUAUCUUUAAUAACAAAAAAGUUAUGCAAAAUUUUCGAUCUAAAAAAGUACAUGUUAAUUGUAAAAAACCGAAAUUUCGAUUUUUCUCAAAAACUAUAAUUUUUUAAAUUUUGAUAAUUAUGUGCAAGGUGCCCCUUCGCUAGGAGUAGUUGACUGUUUUUAAACGAAAGCUCUAUCUUUAUUAACAAAAAAGUUAUGCAAAAUUUUCGAUCUAAAAAAGUACAUGUUAAUUGUAAAAAACCGAAAUUUCGAUUUUUUUCAAAAACUACAAUUUUUUUAGUUUUUGAUUAUUACGUACAAGGUGCCCCUUUGCAAGGAGUACUUGACAGUUU